rnacentral:rRNA from 1 species
AGUGAACGCUGGCGGUAGGCCUAACACAUGCAAGUCGAACGGCAGCACAGUAAGAGCUUGCUCUUACGGGUGGCGAGUGGCGGACGGGUGAGGAAUACAUCGGACUCUACUUUUUCGUGGGGGAUAACGUAGGGAAACUUACGCUAAUACCGCAUACGCCCUACGGGUGAAAGCAGGGGAUCUUCGCACCUUGCGCGAUUGAAUGAGCCGAUGUCGGAUUAGCUAGUUGGCGGGGUAAAGGCCCACCAAGGCGACGAUCCGUAGCUGGUCUGAGAGGAUGAUCAGCCACACUGGAACUGAGACACGGUCCAGACUCCUACGGGAGGCAGCAGUGGGGAAUAUUGGACAAUGGGCGCAAGCCUGAUCCAGCCAUACCGCGUGGGUGAAGAAGGCCUUCGGGUUGUAAAGCCCUUUUGUUGGGAAAGAAAAGCAGCAGGUUAAUACCCCGCUGUUCUGACGGUACCCAAAGAAUAAGCACCGGCUAACUUCGUG